CGUCGUCGAGACGUCACGAGAGUAGUGUAUCGUGCUAGGAUGAACGCUGGCGGCGUGCCUAAUACAUGCAAGUCGAACGGUAUCAGCAAUGAUAUAGUGGCGAACGGGUGAGUAACACGUUGGUGACCUGCCCCAAAGAUGGGAAUAUCACCUGGAAACGGGUGGCAAAACCGAAUAAGCUUGAGAGAGUUAGAGAACCUCAAGUAAAAGAGAGAUCUACUUUGGGAGGGGCCUGCGGCCCAUCAGUUAGUUGGUGAGGGUAACGGCCACCAAGACGAAGACGGGUAGGGGACCUGAGAGGGUGGUCCCCCACAAUGGAACUGAAACACGGUCCAUACACCUGCGGGUGGCAGCAGUAGGGAAUAUUGCUUAAUGGGCGAAAAAGCCUGAAGCAGCAACGCCGCGUGGGACGAAGGAGGUCCUUCGGGGUCGUAAAGUCCUUUUAUGAGGGAAAAGGUAAGGAUGGUACCUCAUGAAUAAGUCUCGGCUAACUACGUGCCAGCCGCCGC
rnacentral:rRNA from 1 species